rnacentral:rRNA from 1 species
UACAGAGGUCUCAAGCGUUGUUCGGAUUCAUUGGGCGUAAAGGGUGCGUAGGCGGCGCGGUAAGUCGGGUGUGAAAUCUCGGAGCUUGACUCCGAAACUGCAUUCGAUACUGCCGUGCUUGAGGACUGGAGAGGAGACUGGAAUUUACGGUGUAGCGGUGAAAUGCGUAGAUAUCGUAAGGAAGACCAGUGGCGAAGGCGGGUCUCUGGACAGUUCCUGACGCUGAGGCACGAAGGUCAGGGGAGCAAACGGG